rnacentral:rRNA from 1 species
GACAGAGGGUGCAAACGUUGUUCGGAAUUACUGGGCGUAAAGCGCGUGUAGGCUGCUCUGUGUGUCGGAUGUGAAAGCCCCGGGCUCAACCUGGGAAGUGCACUCGAAACUACAGAGCUGGAGUCUCGGAGAGGAUCGCGGAAUUCUCGGUGUAGAGGUGAAAUUCGUAGAUAUCGAGAGGAACACCGGUGCGAAGGCGGCGAUCUGGACGAUGACUGACGCUGAGGCGCGAAAGCGUGGGGAGCAAACAGG